rnacentral:misc_RNA from 1 species
AACUGUGACACCUGCAUUUUCAGUUGGUGAAGAGGUUCUCCAAAAAAGUAAUCUUUGUCAGGAUACUACUGAGGUUUGGGAAGUUAGUGUAAGUGCACCACUCAAUCCUGAUCCUUCAGAAGAUAGAAAGCUGAGCUCUUUUAAUCAGCUUGGGAAUUUCCCUAGCCCUAAACAAUUAGCAAGCCUUGAUGAAAGUUUUCUAGCAAAGCGUUGCGGUCUUGGUUAUAGAGCGGGCCGCAUUAUAAAGCUUGCUAAGGGCAUAGUUGAAGGCAGUAUUCAGUUGAAUGAACUUGAAGAAGCUUGUAGCAACCCAAGCUUGUCCAAUUAUGAUAAAAUGGCUGAGCAGCUGAGAGAAAUAGAUGGAUUUGGCCCAUUUACAUGUGCUAAUGUACUGAUGUGCUUGGGUUAUUAUCAUGUGAUUCCCACUGAUUCCG